rnacentral:rRNA from 1 species
AGUGAACGCUGGCGGUAGGCCUAACACAUGCAAGUCGAACGGCAGCACAGUAAGAGCUUGCCCUUACGGGUGGCGAGUGGCGGACGGGUGAGGAAUACAUCGGAAUCUACUUUUUCGUGGGGGAUAACGUAGGGAAACUUACGCUAAUACCGCAUACGACCUACGGGUGAAAGCAGGGGAUCUUCGGACCUUGCGCGAUUGAAUGAGCCGAUGUCGGAUUAGCUAGUUGGCGGGGUAAAGGCCCACCAAGGCGACGAUCCGUAGCUGGUCUGAGAGGAUGAUCCGCCACACUGGAACUGAGACACGGUCCAGACUCCUACGGGAGGCAGCAGUGGGGAAUAUUGGACAAUGGGCGCAAGCCUGAUCCAGCCAUACCGCGUGGGUGAAGAAGGCCUUCGGGUUGUAAAGCCCUUUUGUUGGGAAAGAAAAGCAGCAGGUUAAUACCCCGCUGUUCUGACGGUACCCAAAGAAUAAGCACCGGCUAACUUCGUG